GGACGAUACUCUGGAGAGACCCGUUUAAUCGGGCGCCGAAGGAGCAAGGUCUUGUUUAUCAAUGAUAAAUAGACCGGAAACUCUCAGGCAAAAGGACAGAGGGGAUGGG
rnacentral:ncRNA from 2 species